ACAGUAUGUGGGAAUUAUGGGAGCUAUAAUUCAAGAUGAGAUUUGGGUGGGACACAGCCAAACCAUAUCACUAGGUAAGAAGAGGGCUCCAUGCUAAGGAACAGGAUAUGCAAAGACCCUGUGGCAGGAGGAACUCUACCUGCUUUUUUGAAGAAUUCCAUAAGGUAGCCUUCAGUGGAGCUGAGUAGAGAGUGGGGGAGAGUGGGCUAAAACAUGAGGGGAGAAGUAGGCAAAAGCUAAAUCUCAUCAGGACCUUAUAGACAAUUGACAGAUGUUUGUCUUUAUCCAGUAAGGUGUUUGUAUGCUCCUUAAGUGGCAGCGGGGAGUGAGCAGAGCAGUGAAGAUAAACAUGAAAGCUGGUGGUAACAAAUUCUGAUACCUCCUCUAUUCCAAAAGGAAAGGCAGAACUCAGAGGCACCAUCCUCCUGUUGUGUUUGCAAGCUGUUGACACAACCUGGAAAGGUUAAAAGUUUUCAACAGACUUGUCAGAGUUUGUGUUCAAUGGAAACUGACAGAGCCUACCGGCUGAGGGGCUAAUUUUAAUAGAAAUAACCUAGGUGCGUUUGUUAAUUUUCUCCGUUCCCUCAAUGACCUGUCUGCAUAGCGUGAAGGUGCUUUGAUGUGACCAGGAGAACAGAAGGAUAUUUUGUGCAUAGCUGACCGUGAGAGGAAUGCUGGUUUUGCAAUGAGGAAGCACAGGAAGAUGACAGAACAAUGAGCAUAAGACAUGCUGGGUGCAUUUUUUGGACCUUACCACAUCUUGUUUGAGAGAAGUGGGACCAAUGCUGAUGAAACUCUUUCCCAUGGUGUGUUCUAUAUUCAUUGGAUGGGCAUCGCCUACGGCUGGAGCAGGGCUGAGCUCUGUACUGGUGUCUCUUAAAACACACCAGACAGCAACAGCUGAGAUACCUACUACCUGGAUCUGCUUGAUUAGAUCAUACGGUCAUAUUUGAUUACUUAGAAUGGGAAGUACAAUCUCCAGAAAACUGAAACUCCAGCUUUUCCUCCUUGAUCGUAGCUUAUUUUUCUUGGCUAACUUCAGAAAAUUCUUCAAGCCAGGAGGCUUUCUAAGCUUACUCCUGAUGCAGUUAAAACUCAAAGGUUUCUGGAAGCCAAUGAAAAUCCUCACCUCUGACUGAAAUGGAAUUUCAAGGGAAAGAAAAUACAACGUAUUUUAUGAGGUCAGGUCUCCCAUAAGGUGUUAAAGGCAUUGUUCAGAGGUGCCACCUAGCAACUUCUCCCAGAACAAAAGAUUAGCCAUAGGUACUUCUUGUGUCUGGUUUUUGAGUUUAAAAUAGGAACAGGCAAAGGAUGCAUUUGGCAGCAUCCUUCAUCUAUUCCUGUUUAAACUUCUAUCAAUAAAAGUUUAGUUCUAUUAAUAAACAUGUCUCUUGACUUUGUUGUGAAAUAGAAUUGGUGAAGGCACAAAGUGGCUUAUUUUACUACUUAUGAGGCAGGCGUAUUAUAUAUGACAUAGACCAACUGGAAUUAUGGAUGGUAUUUCAUAAAAUAGUGUCAAAGAUUGCAGGCCAGGGAGACAGAAAGAAGUAUACUUGAUUUUCUUGAGAGUCACUUUGCACUUAAAUACCCAAAUACCGAAAGUUUAAACACAUUUUCAUGAUUCCUUUGUAUAAAAAGUGAACAGAAUGGCUACCGUUGUAAUUUUGCUGCUUCUAGCAAUUCACCAGCAAAAUACAUCCCAAAAUAGCAGAUAUACAAUGCAGCAUAUGCUUUGGUGAAUCUAAUAAUUUCGUGAACUCGUUCGCUGUUGGGCUGGUAAUCUACAUAGCUUUAACGGUGAACUUUAUAAAAUUCGGAGCCUCAUGCAUCAGAAGGUAAAAAACAAAAGUGGACAGUUUUAACAACGAUGGAUGAGUUGCUAGGGAAUAAAAUUAAAUGGUUGAUAAUAAUUGUGGUAGCUCACGAAGACUGAUGUUAUUUACAAAAGCUCCAUUUUGCAUGUAAUCAGAUGUCUAUUCCCAUGAGCUGGGUCAUAAUUCAUAUUCCACUUUAAUGUUCAUGGAAAAUGUGCUUCUCUCUGUGUACGUAUUAUUUUUAGGAUGUUAUGUUUCCUUGGUGCAUACACAAUGAGCCUGAAAUCCUUUAGGAAUGUGUUUAAUUUGAAAGUUUUAUCCUCUGGGCCUGGUUAAUUCAAAUACAUGGCUAGGAACAUUAUUGUAGGCCCUGAAAGAAUGUAGGCAUGGCAAAUUAUGUGCAUAAAGGCAACUCCAACCCAUGUUGCCAACGCUCAUUUGGUAAAAGGUAGUGAGGAGGAUUAUUUUUUCCUUCCAAACUUUUUUCUUCAUCCACUCAUUUAAUUUUUCUGCACUAAUUCUUUACGUUAAUAAGCUUGAUUUACACUGGACCAGAUUUCUUCUACUUUUAAACUCAGAACCGUGUCUGGUGGCUCUUUUGUAUUAAAAUCAUCAGCCCAGGGAGCUUUUACGAACUUAUGUCCUCAGUCCACAAGGUGUCCUGUGUUCACCCUUAUAUUCUCUUCUAUCCUUAGUCACAAAGACUGUCUGAGUCGCAUUUUCAUCUCUAGAAACUGGAAGAAGUUCUAAGAGUGUGAGGUAAUGACUCAAGGACAACAGCUCCCAGAAAAUAACAGGGUUUGCCCUGCUGCUUUGGAGGAGGUUCUCCUGAAUCAUGUCACUGAAGCACAGCUAGGGCCCGGGACCUGGGACCACAGCCCUUGAAGGGAAUGAGCGGCUGUCUGGGGGCUGAAAGUUCUCUCAGGAGAGGCGUUUUCACAAGGCUUUGUGAUACCGAGCCUCAGGCGUGGACAGAGACGUGUUUUAGGAUUUGAGAAGCCUGUGGAGAAAUUAAGUCAUGUCCCAGUGUACAGUGCUAUGCCAUAAGAAUGGCUAGAACUUUCAGGGGCAUCCUGGAGCUUGACCCUGGCUCAUCAUUUUAUACAUGAAGGGGCUUUGGGUCACGGAGGCAUGGGUUUGCGUCCUGUCUGUUUGAUUCAUUAGAUAUGUGAUCUGGGCCUAAAACUUCGGAGAUCUUAAACACCGAAAACCUUGGGGCACUUUUGCCUUGCUCCCAACCAUGAAAUACAAAAACCAAAGCAAAACAAACAAAAAGUAAGCCAGAAGAUAUAAAAUUGCUUAUAGGUCUGUUGUCUAACAUCAAGUGCGGAAAGGGGUCUAACAAAUUUCCAGCUGGGUGCGGUGGCUCACACCUUUAAUCCCAGCACUUUGGGAGGCUGAGGCAGGCAGAUUGCUUGAGCUCAA
rnacentral:lncRNA from 1 species